GAUGAACGCUGGCGGCGUGCCUAAUACAUGCAAGUCGAGCGAACAGACGAGGAGCUUGCUCCUCUGACGUUAGCGGCGGACGGGUGAGUAACACGUGGAUAACCUACCUAUAAGACUGGGAGAACUUCGGGAAACCGGAGCUAAUACCGGAUAAUAUAUUGAACCGCAUGGUUCAAUAGUGAAAGACGGUUUUGCUGUCACUUAUAGAUGGAUCCGCACCGCAUUAGCUAGUUGGUAAGGUAACGGCUUACCAAGGCAACGAUGCGUAGCCGACCUGAGAGGGUGAUCGGCCACACUGGAACUGAGACACGGUCCAGACUCCUACGGGAGGCAGCAGUAGGGAAUCUUCCGCAAUGGGCGAAAGCCUGACGGAGCAACGCCGCGUGAGUGAUGAAGGUCUUCGGAUCGUAAAACUCUGUUAUUAGGGAAGAACAAAUGUGUAAGUAACUAUGCACGUCUUGACGGUACCUAAUCAGAAAGCCACGGCUAACUACGUG
rnacentral:rRNA from 1 species